ACCUGGGUGGCUCAGUCGGUUGAGCAUCCGACUUCAGCUCAGGUCAUGAUCUCGUGCUUCAUGGGUUCGAGCCCCACUUCGGGCU
rnacentral:tRNA from 1 species